UUUCUUUUUUAUCAUAACUCACACCCUUCGACGAGCUGUCAACUGAUUUUUAUAGCAACAGAUAUGCGAGAUUUUUCUCAUUUCCUCGCCCCUUCCCCUUGGAACAUGUUUUAUGGUCUGUGAAUUAUAUGUGCGAAAUAUGCGCGAACGGACAUCAAAGUGGGAAUCACGCUGACAGAAUAUAGAAAAUAGUGUAUAAGCGGAAAAUCAACGCGUCCCCCGAUGCGGCCGCCAGUUGUGUCGAAUGUGAAAUGAAAGCGAGCUGGCAAAAAACUGGAUGGCCAACAACAAGGCAACAAAAAAACGAAACGAGAAAAAAGGCAACCGACUAGUUUUGAGUGAGUUCCCAAAAGGCGGCCAUUUUGGGCGGCUCAAGCUCAGGCGCAAAGGAGAGCGCAACACACACAGAGAGCAAAAGCGAGAGAGUGAGAGAGAGAGAGAGAGCACGCGCACGCGGCAUUCCAGUGGGCAGCAUUCCAGGCAAGGCGCAACUAAAAAGGGGAAAUUCUGAGCGCAAAUUUUGUGCUUGCGACUGAGCGAACAAGUGUGUGUGAGAGUGAGUGAAUGAGAGUGUGUGUGUGUGUGCGUGUAGUUGUGCUUGUGUGCGUGUGCUAAGCAGCCAGAUGAUUGAGGGCGUUGCUUGGCAAAAAUGGCAGACAAUGUUGAAAGCUUUAACUACAGCAGCGCACGCACUUGGCUGACGGAAGGGGGGAAAGAGAAUGAGAGCACGCAGCAAACACUGAGAGAGUGUAUGAGUUAGUGAGUGAGCGAGUGAGCGAGAAGAAGCGAGUGAGUGAGAGCGCAGCAGUUGCUCCGUUUUUGAAGGUGGAGUGAGUGCAAAAAAUAUUGUGAGACGUACGAAAACAAGAUGGUAGUGUAAGUAAAGACUGCAGGUGGUGGGGAAGGGACGAGGGGGAGGUGCGUUGAGGUGGGCAGACAAGUUGCAACUUGUCCGUAGCUUGUUAACAAUUGCAGCACUCAAAUAAAUGAGCCCAACAACAGCGUCAAGGAUCUGCCUGCCUGGCUGCUUCACUCUCCUUCUCUGUAUGUGUGUGUGUGAGUGUGAGUCAGAGAAAUUAGUUUCGACUGAGCAGCAAAAGCGGGUGGAAGGUAGAGGGGGUCGCUGCUUGUAACAGUUGCUUGGCUGCAGGCAAUAUACUUAAUUAAAAGUCGCACCAGACAAAAGCCAAAAACGCAAAAAGUGAUUAAAACAAGCCAACACUUCUAUACUUUAUUCCUUUCUUUUUUGCUGGUCUACACCACAAGAGGCAUGCUGCAACGGCUGCAAAUACAACAAGUAAGCAGCUUGUGCGUAAACUCGCUGCCCCUCAGCCCCUGACUUCCCGUCUUUCACUUGCAAUUGUUUGUCACUCAACAGCGUUGUCUUGCGACCUGCCCUCAGCCCCAAGUUCUACCUCUCUCACUCUUUCCCUUUUGCGUUCUCUCUCUCUUUCUUUUUUUUAUUUGGGGCUACACAUUUCACUUGGCACAUCAAAGUGCGCACUCACUCGUGUUGCUGCUGCUGCUUUUGCUGCUGCUGCUGUUGUCGGUGCUGAUUAUUCACAUCGAUUGGCAUUUGUGAAAUUUCACGAAUUGGCACUUUUUACCACUUGGGUGGUUCUGCCUUUCGCUUUGCGCUAAUUUUGUACACAGUUCUUCUUCUUCUUCGCCCAUUCUCUUGCUACUCCUUUUUGGCUUUUGCUUUUGCUAUUCUUGUUGUUGCUGUUGCCACAUUCCCCAAAUUACAUUGCAACCAAUUGACAAUUCGUUUCACACGUCAAGGCGACUUUUUGUGUGGUCGCUGGCAGAAAAACGAAAUAAAAACCUAAGCUAGAAAAUACAAUAUAUAAAAAUGUACUGAGAGAAAUACAACACUACAUUGUGACAAAUAAGAAAUAAAUAUUUAGGCAUCAAAAUAAAUCUUGGAGUAACAUAAAGAUAAAUGGCACGAGUUCAGGAAGAAAAUUGAAUGUAGCCAGUAAUUUAAUUGGAAUUUAUCAGAGAAUUGAAUAUUUUAUUUAUUAUCGUACUUACCGCAAAUAAAUUCAAUUACUUGUU